rnacentral:rRNA from 1 species
UGGGGAAUAUUGGACAAUGGGCGAAAGCCUGAUCCAGCCAUGCCGCGUGUGUGAAGAAGGUCUUCGGAUUGUAAAGCACUUUAAUUUGGGAGGAAGGGCAUUAACCUAAUACGUUAGUGUUUUGACGUUACCGACAGAAUAAGCACCGGCUAACUCUGUGCCAGCAGCCGCGGUAAUACAGAGGGUGCAAGCGUUAAUCGGAAUUACUGGGCGUAAAGCGCGCGUAGGUGGUUUGUUAAGUUGGAUGUGAAAUCCCCGGGCUCAACCUGGGAACUGCAUUCAAAACUGACUGACUAGAGUAUGGUAGAGGGUGGUGGAAUUUCCUGUGUAGCGGUGAAAUGCGUAGAUAUAGGAAGGAACACCAGUGGCGAAGGCGACCACCUGGACUAAUACUGACACUGAGGUGCGAAAGCGUGGGGAGCAAACA